CUGUCUGUUCUGUGUAUGAAGAGCAUUUACAUACAGAGACACUUUGCAUGAGAGUGUUUAUAGAGCUGUGAGUUUAACACUUCAUGACUGAGAGCAGAACAGAACACAAUCUUCAUCAUCACACAAGACACAACAACAACAAUGAACAACAUCAUCAUCCUCAUCUGGACCACUGCAGCUUUUAUUCAUGGAUCCAGUGGACUCACUGUGACUCAGCCUAAAAUUAAAACGGUCCGACAGGGUCAACAAGUUACAAUAGAGUGCAGUACAGAUGUGGAGAUAUACUAUGACAACUUAGCCUGGUAUCAGCAGAAACCUGGAGAAGCUCCUAAACUCCUCAUUUAUGAUAUAAGAAGCCUUUAUACAGGAACUCCAUCUAGAUUCAGUGGCAGUGGAACAAACUAUGGAAAAGAUUUCACUCUGACCAUCAGUGGAGUCCAGACUGAAGAUGCAGGAGAUUAUUACUGUCAGAGUUACCACAGUGGUAAUGUGUUCACACAGUGAUAAAGAGUCGUACAAAAACCUCCGUCAGUCAGAGUCACAGUGACUGCACUGAUACAGCUGAGAGACACUGCAGCUGCUGAUGGAGGAUGUUUUACAUACAAAUUGGUGUAACAAAUUUAACAAAAUUUUAAAUGUCUAAAUUAAGAUAAAAAUAAU